rnacentral:rRNA from 1 species
GACGAACGCUGGCGGCGUGCUUAACACAUGCAAGUGGAGCGACGAAACCGGGCUUGCCCGGUGGCAGAGCCGCGAACGGGUGAGUAACACGUGGGUAACCUGCCCCGAUGAUUGGGACAACUCCGGGAAACCGGAGCUAAUACCAAAUGUGUUCACAUUCUUGAAGGGGCGUGAGGAAAGGAAGCUUCGGCCUCCGCAUCGGGAUGGGCCCGCGGCCCAUUAGCUUGUUGGUGGGGUAACGGCCUACCAAGGCGACGAUGGGUAGCUGGUCUGAGAGGACGAUCAGCCACACUGGGACUGAGACACGGCCCAGACUCCUACGGGAGGCAGCAGUGGGGAAUCUUGCGCAAUGCGCGAAAGCGUGACGCAGCAACGCCGCGUGCGGGAAGACGGCCUUCGGGUUGUAAACCGCUUUCAGUUGGGACGAAGCUUCGCCGGUGAAUAGCCGGCUGGAGUGACGGUACCUUCACAAGAAGCACCAGCUAACUACGUGCCAGCCGCCGCAGUA